rnacentral:sRNA from 1 species
UAAUAUACACGAAAAGGGAAGUUGCGUGAACAACCUCCCUUUUAGGACAGUACCGUUUAAGACGGCAACCUGGAUAAUUAUUAGAAGAAA